rnacentral:rRNA from 1 species
GAUGAACGCUGGCGGCGUGCUUAACACAUGCAAGUCGAACGGGAAACCUUUUAUUGAAGCUUCGGCAGAUUUAGAUUGUUUCUAGUGGCGGACGGGUGAGUAACGCGUGGGUAACCUGCCUUAUACAGGGGGAUAACAGUCAGAAAUGACUGCUAAUACCGCAUAAGCGCACAGAGCUGCAUGGCUCGGUGUGAAAAACUCCGGUGGUAUAAGAUGGACCCGCGUUGGAUUAGCUAGUUGGUGAGGUAACGGCCCACCAAGGCGACGAUCCAUAGCCGGCCUGAGAGGGUGAACGGCCACAUUGGGACUGAGACACGGCCCAGACUCCUACGGGAGGCAGCAGUGGGGAAUAUUGCACAAUGGGGGAAACCCUGAUGCAGCGACGCCGCGUGAAGGAAGAAGUAUCUCGGUAUGUAAACUUCUAUCAGCAGGGA